rnacentral:rRNA from 1 species
UGCUAGUUGACAGCCGGAUACUGUUGGAAACGCUGUCAAUAAUACGUCAGAAMUAAGUUGGACUUGUUUAAGCUCGGGGAGAAUCAAUUCUCCAAGGUGUCUGCUACUUCUGCAGCUUUGAGGUUCUCCUUGAUUCUGCAGAUGUUCUCUCACUGAGGUUUUUUGCUCUUUUCCUCAUUCAGGGGUUUGCAAGCUCUAACAAAGGCUCCUGCUCAUGUCGGCAUACUACCAUGCCAGGCAAGCCCUUAAAGCGGGCAGAAAGCUUCCACACUAAAGGUGUGCUCACUGGGUCUCCCAUUCCCCUAUAAUACCUCUUGUUCCCCCUAUUCUGCACCUUCUUCCUGAGGUGUGUGCUCCCUAUGCUGGAUCUCUGUAUUCAGUUGUAGGCGCACACUCCCUCUUGCGGGAGGGUCAUACUAGGGUGCAAAAGGCGUUUUAGGGGUUACUUGGGAAUCAGACUCAGCUGGGCGCACCGUGGUUGCCUUUCCCUGGAUGUUGGUCCCAAGACAUGAUUGGGUGGGAGGGGAUCCUUGAUGAGAAGAGUUUUAUUGAUGAUUUUCACGUUCACAACGGAUUUCAGCCCUAUCAACUAUACGGCUGGGCAUUGACCUACCGUGGUUAUAACGGGUGCAGAGGAUUAGGGUUUGAUCCUGGAGAGGUAGCCUGAGAAAUAGCUCCCACUUCCAUGGAAGGCAGCAGCGCGUAACGUUCCCAAUGUUUAUGGACCGAGGACGUUAAGACAUAGCAUACUUCGUCUUCAAAACGAAGCAAUUGAAAUGUGGGAGGUUUAAAUCACCCACCGAGUAACAAUUGGAGGACA